AGCUCCGAGGUGUUGUACACACCAGAUUGCAAAUCUGGAGUUGCAGGUUAAUUGCCUGCCGGGGCUU
rnacentral:tRNA from 1 species